UGGGGAAUCUUGCGCAAUGGGCGAAAGCCUGACGCAGCAACGCCGCGUGUGUGAUGAAGGCCUUCGGGUUGUAAAGCACUGUCAAGAGGGAAGAAUACGCGUUGGCUAAUACCCGGCGUGAAUGACGGUACCUCUGAAGGAAGCACCGGCUAACUCCGUGCCAGCAGCCGCGGCAAUACGGGGGGUGCAAGCGUUGUUCGGAAUCAUUGGGCGUAAAGCGCGUGUAGGCGGGCGAGCAAGUCGGGUGUGAAAGCCCGGGGCUUAACCCCGGAACUGCGCUCGAAACUGCUCGUCUUGAGUACGGAAGGGGGAAGCGGAAUUCUCGGUGUAGGGGUGAAAUCCGUAGAUAUCGGGAGGAACACCAAUGGCGAAGGCAGCUUCCUGGAUCGAUACUGACGCUGAGACGCGAAAGCGUGGGGAGCAAACAGGAUUAGAUACCCCCGUAGUCC
rnacentral:rRNA from 1 species